UGGGGAAUUGUUCACAAUGGGCGCAAGCCUGAUGACGCAACGCCGCGUGGGGGAUGAAGGUCUUCGGAUUGUAAACCCCUGUCGAAUGGGACGAAAGACUCGCGAGUUAAUACUUCGCGGGAGUGACGGUACCGUUAAAGGAAGCCACGGCUAACUCUGUGCCAGCAGCCGCGGUAAUACAGAGGUGGCAAGCGUUGUUCGGAAUUACUGGGCGUAAAGGGCGCGUAGGCGGCCUACUAAGUCAGACGUGAAAUCCCCCGGCUUAACCUGGGAACUGCGUCUGAUACUGGAAGGCUUGAGUAUGGGAGAGGGAUGUAGAAUUCCAGGUGUAGCGGUGAAGUGCGUAGAUAUCUGGAGGAAUACCGGUGGCGAAGGCGGCAUCCUGGACCAUUACUGACGCUGAGGUGCGAAAGCGUGGGGAGCAAACAGGAUUAGAUACCCUAGUAGUCCCUGAGCGGGCUGGCAAGGCGCAU
rnacentral:rRNA from 1 species